UAUAUACUGAGAUGCCAUUGCAUGUUUUGAAGAUACCUAUAGAAUUCAUACAUUUUAUACUUAUAUUUAUAAUUAUGAAAUAAUUAUUAUUAGAUUUAUGAAAAAAAAACAAAUAUAAAAUAAAAAUUGUAUGUAUUUUAUAUCAUUUUAUGAGAUAUUUCAGAAGUAUUUUGAUUUAAAAGCAUACACGAUACACCUAUAUCUUUUACCAAAACUGCAUCUGGACAUCCAUUACUUUUAUUACUCCUAUAAAAAAAGAUAUGUAAAUAAUUUUUUUAUUAUUUAAUGAAUAUGAUUAUGUAUAUGACAAAAAAAAAUCAUUAUUUAAGAAUAAAAAUUUUCAACAAAAUUAUUUAUGAUACAUUUGAUAAAAUAAAAACUGUAUUAAUAAAAAUAUUGAAUAACAAAUAAUAAUAUAAUAAAAAUAUUAACCUAUAAUAAGGAAACUGACAGCUAUCAUGAAUCGUAGAAUUGCUCAUUUCAUCAGAAAUUAUAUUUUCUGUUACUGAAUGAUUAUGUGAAUCUUUAUUCAUACUGUUAAUGGAGUUGUAAUUCGAUUCAAUAAUCAAAGCAUUUUGUUUAAUAGCAUGUCUUUUUGAUAUUGUAGAAAUAAAACUCUUAGAAGA